rnacentral:misc_RNA from 1 species
AACGCACCUUGCGCUCCUUGGUAUUCCGAGGAGCAUGCCUGUUUGAGUGUCAUGGAAUUCUCAACCAUGUCUUGAUUGACUUCGAGGCAUGGCUUGGAUGUGGGGGUUGCUGGCGGUGAAAGCUGUCGGCUCUCCUGAAAUGCAUUAGCGAUGGACAGCAAGUCUGACGUGCACGGCCUCGACGUGAUAAUGAUCGUCGUAGCUGGAGCGUCGGACGAGCGCAAUAUGUCCCUUUGCUUCCAAUCCUUUGACUUGGGAAUAGGACUUUCGAGCGAAGCUUUAGUUACUAGUCGGUCGUGAGGCCGACGAACGCAGGGCGGGAUCGAAGGUCGGGAAGCCCCUCGUCUUUCUUGACGACUUGACCUCAAAUCAGGUAGGACUACCCGCUGAACUUAA